GGAGGGAUGGCCGAGCGGACGAAGGCGGCAGUCUUGAAAACUGCUGAACCCCGUCAGGGGUUCCGUGGGUUCGAAUCCCACUCCCUCCG
rnacentral:tRNA from 1 species